GAGAAAAGAGUAUGUAACUGAAGUGAAGGUGAUUAGCCAAUUGAGACACAGGAAUCUGGUGCAACUAAUUGGUUGGUGCCAUGAUAAAAAUGAUUUCAUACUUGUCUAUGAAUUCAUGCCAAAUGGCAGCCUUGAUUCCCACCUCUUUGGUAGGAGAAGUCCACUGACAUGGUCUGUGAGGUACAGAAUAUCGCUUGGCUUGGCAUCUGCACUUCUAUAUCUUCAUGAAGAGUGGGAGCAGUGUGUGGUGCAUCGAGACAUUAAAUCAAGCAAUGUAAUGCUUGAUUCCAGUUUCAAUGUCAAGCUUGGUGACUUCGGAUUGGCCAAACUCAUGGACCAUGAGCAAGGUCCUAAAACAACUGGAUUGGCUGGAACUAUAGGCUACUUGGCUCCAGAGUACAUAUGUACAGGUAGGGCUAGUAAGGAGUCAGAUGUUUAUAGCUUUGGGGUAGUCCUUUUAGAAAUUGCAACUGGAAGGAAAUCUGUUGGCCCUGGAAGAAAAUCUGACAUGGGAUUGGUUGAGUGGAUUUGGGGUCUUUAUGGAACAGGAGAGCUAAUUUUGGCUGUUGACGAUAAGUUGGGCAAGGAAUUUGAUGAGAAACAAGUGGAGUCUUUGAUGAUUGUUGGACUGUGGUGUGCUCACCCCGAUUAUAAUUCAAGGCCAUCAAUCAGGCAAGCAAUUCAUGUUCUUUGUUUGGAAUCACCGUUGCCAAAUCUUCCUGUCAAGAUGCCUGUUCCUACAUAUCAAGUAUCUUUAUCAUCAGUCUCCUCCUCUGAGCCUUCAGUAACAUAUUCAAGCAUGGAUUUGGGGCGUUAAACAUGAUUUGCCUUCAUCUGGAUGUGCUUCUAAUUUCAUUUUCCUUUUCUUUUUAGUUUUGACAUUUCAUGUUGAUGUAUAAACACCACUUGUAUAGUUACUGAGAAGAAUUUAGUUCCAUCCAAGUGUAGCUUAACCCUUUUCCUUCUGGCAUAAAGAUAGAUUAAAAUGUUUGGCUUGAAUGUCUUUGCUGGUUACAGUUAAAUUUUGGUUUAUAUAUUGAGUUGUAAGGCAGGAAAAUGAAAAAAGUGAUCACCAAGUUAGACAGCCUGUGUAAUGUAAAUUUGAACUCGAAAUCACUCAAAAAUGAAUUAACUUAAACUUGAAAUGAUAAAAAAAACAAGUAAUUUGAAAUUAGCAGAAAAAAUAAUUUGAAACGACCCGAGAUGACUUGACUUGGAAAAUUCAACUACCAAACUUGAAUGUCUCAAAUUCAAAAUGAUCCAAAUUUAAAACAAUCUAAAGCUGAAAUAAUAAAAAAUUUAAACCCAUGUUAAAUUGAUCUAUUAAUCUGAUCCAAAAUCAACUAGAUCCACUCAAUUCUAACUUCUAAUUUGCAUAUAUAUACCUUAGUUGAUUCAAAAUAUGGCAAUAGGUUCAGUUUAUUCUUUGAAUUAACCUUUAACCUACCCCUUACUUUGCUUAUUAAGGUAAAGUUAUAGUUACAAAAAAUUAAUAUAUUCAUCAAUAUUUCUUUCUAAACAACAAUUGAAAUAACAAAUACAAUAUAAUAUUAACAACCAAAGUAAAAUGGAUGGUUGAUAGAUAAGUUUUCAACAUUUAGAUUUGAUCUAAUUUUCCCGAUCCAAGAAACUUAAUAUGCUUGAUCCGAUCAAAUCUUUUAAACAAAUUUCUCUAAGUAAAUUGAUCUUCAUUAAUGGGCCAGUCUUUCAUAUAUGACAAGUUAUUGUUUUGUAUAGACAAGGGAAGAGUGAAAACUUCCCUUGACACAUUGCAGCAACUUCAAAUAUUUCAACACAAUGUAAUCUCUUACGAAUAUUAUGCACAAAUAUUGUAACAUAGUUUCUAUUAUCAUUCCCUGCUUGAUGUUCAAAUCUUUGACACUCUUGUAAACCUACCAUUUUUUCUUUUUAGAUUAACAGCAUCUACAAACCCCUCCCUUAUCUAGUAUGACUUAGACCUUUUAUGAUAGAUAUUGGUGCACAAACCUCCUUUUUCUAUAUUUUCAGAGAAAGAGAAUUAGUAUAUGAUCUAUUCGAAGCUGUCACCGAUAUGAGAAUGAUGCAUAAUUAUUUUCGUAUCGGUGAAGUGGCGGCCGAUUUACCUUACGGCUGGAUAGAUAAAUGUUUAGAUUUUUAUGAUUAUUUUUUAACAGGAAUUGUUGAAUAGCAAAAAUUUAUUAUACGAAAUCCUAUAUAUAUUUUUUAGAAUGAGUUGAAGGGAUAUGCGUUAUUGGUGGAGAACAAGCAAUAAUUUGGGGGUUUAUUCGGCCCAAUGCUACGAGCAUUUGGAAUCAAAUGGAAUCUUCAGAAAGUUGAUUAUUAUGAGUGUUAUGAUGAAUUUGAUUAGGAUCCAGUGGCAAAAAGAAAGAGAUUCAUUAGCUCAUUAUUUAGUCCGAAUCAGUGAAAUGAUGAAAUCUAUAAAAAUAAUUAAAUAGGCCCUCGAAGGAAUUUCGAGUGGUCCCUAUGAGAAUUUAGAAAUCCAAUGCUUUGCUCGAGAAAGGGAUUCAGAAUGGAAUGAUUUUGAAUAUCGAUUCAUUAGUAAAAAACCUUCUCCCACAUUUGAAUUACCAAGACAAGAACUUUAUGCGGGAACGGAAGCUAUAUAGGAAGUUCAUUAAUAAACUUGUUUAUUAAACAUUGCUUGUAUCUCUCCAAGUCCAUCCCUUCAAUCCAAAAUGCAAUCAGGUUUUUUUUCCGAAAUUGACCUAAAAGAAUUGAUUAAUUACAUAAAUGACCCAAGUACAAUUUUUUUUAUAAAAAUGAUUAAUUUCUUACAGUGCACGUCGAUGCUGCCAUUCCAAUGACGGCACCACCCGCCAUCAAUUAUCCUUUUUAGAUUGGCUGAAAAAAGGGUACAGCCUGAGAUAAUAGGGGCACCCUGAGAUAAUAGGGGCACCAAAUUAAAUGAUUUCCAAAAUUUUAAUCUAUAUAUAAAUAACCCUUCAAAAUAUAAGAAUAAAAAAAUAAUCUAUUUUUUUUAAUUUUUUAAAGAACAAUAAACUUAAAAAAUUAUAUAAAAUUUUUUUAAAUAGGGUUAUUUUCGUAAUUAAUCAAAAAGUUCGAGUUACUUCUAAACAAAAGCCAUUGAAUCGCCGCCAUGUUUCAGGAUUGCAGCAGUAAUGGAGAAGAGGUGGGAUGGCUAUUAAAAAGGGUGAUCUCUUCAUCCCUGAGUCAGCAAAUAUCCUUGUACCAUUUUUCACACAACAUAUCCUUAUAUCAUCAACUGAGAUUUCAUUACCAAAGUAUCCUUGUUAAUCUCAUAAAAUUUUAUUUGAUUUAAUGCAGGAAGAUUAUUAGAAAAUUUUGUUGCUGAAUAAAAUCCUCAGUCAAAAAAUGACUAUGAUUUUGUAAGACACAGUUUUCCUUAAAUUCAACUUUUCCUUUGGAAGAGAGAGAUAUAUUAUAAUAGGCUUAUUUAUAUGCCAUUCUAAUAGGUUCACAAAUUCAACUUUUCUAUAUAUAUUUAUGAUUCAGGAAGACGUCUAUUGAAGCUUCCUUCAUGCAUAAAAUAAAGCUGGUCAUUGAAACUUCAGCAUCAAGUUAACUAUUUUUUAUUUACUUCAUUUGCGGAUUCUAUUGGUUCAACUUCUCUUUUAUAUGCUGUCUGACUGCAAUAUCUCUCCUUGCUUCUCUAUUUCCAUGGCGAUUGGGCUCAUCAACUUGCUUCAAUCAUCGCUUCUGAUUCCAUUUCUUUUCACUCUCCCCUUUGUCAAUUCACUAAAUUUCCAAAUAUCUCGCUUUGAUUCAAAUGCAAACAACAUUCUCUAUCAAGGUGAUGCAAAACCUUCCGUUGGAGCCAUUGAGUUUAACCUUAUCAAUUAUAUAAACCGAGUUGGAUGGGCAACAUAUGCCGAGAAGGUGCCAAUUUGGGACUCAAGAACAGGAAGGCUCACCGACUUCAGUACGCGCUUCUCCUUUGACAUUUCUAUUCAAAGUUCAGAUUAUGGUCAUGGACUUGUCUUCUUUCUCGCUCCUGUUGGCUCUCAAAUCCCACCAAAUUCAGCUGGUGGCUUUUUGGGAUUAUUUAAUACAACAACCAGUGAUUCAUCUCAGAACCAAAUCGUUCUCGUUGAGUUCGACACGUUUGAAAAUCCUGAAUGGGAUCCAACUGGUAUUGGUAGUCAUGUUGGGAUUAACGAAAACUCAAUUUCUUCAGCAAAUUAUACCAGAUGGAAUGCUAGCUUUCAUAGUGAAGAUACGGCAGAUGUAGUCAUUAACUACAACGCUACUACUAAGAACUUAAGUGUCUCUUGGAGCUAUCAAAAGACCAAUAAUCCUCGAGAGAAUUCUAGUCUUUCAUAUCAAAUCGAUCUGAUGACGGUUUUACCAGAGUGGGUCAUGGUCGGAUUUUCUGCUGCUACAGGUCAGUACGUAGAGAGGCAUACACUCCAAAAUUGGGAAUUCGGUUCAAGUUUAACUGUGGCAGAGGAUACAAGCGGCAACAAAGCAAGAAAUGUUAGAAUAAUUCUGGGUAUUGUAGUUCCUGUGGGUGUUCUGAUAGCUGGGACAAUUAUAGCUUUUAUAAUUUGGAAGAGGAAGAAGCAUGCGAAAAGAACACCAGAAACAACAAACUUGACAUCAAUGAAUGAUGAUCUUGAAAGAGGAGCUGGACCAAGAAGGUUUUCUUAUACUGAUCUUGCCUCAGCUACCAAUAACUUCUCGGAGCAAAGAAAAUUGGGUGAGGGAGGCUUUGGUGCAGUUUAUAGGGGUUACCUGAAUGAUUUGGAUGUGGAGGUUGCUGUUAAAAGGAUUUCAAGUUGGUCCAAACAAGGGAGAAAAGAGUAUGUAACUGAAGUGAAGGUGAUUAGCCAAUUGAGACACAGGAAUCUGGUGCAACUAAUUGGUUGGUGCCAUGAUAAAAAUGAUUUCAUACUUGUCUAUGAAUUCAUGCCAAAUGGCAGCCUUGAUUCCCACCUCUUUGGUAGGAGAAGUGCACUGACAUGGUCUGUGAGGUACAGAAUAUCGCUUGGAUUGGCAUCUGCACUUCUCUAUCUUCAUGAAGAGUGGGAGCAGUGUGUGGUGCAUCGAGACAUUAAGUCAAGCAAUGUAAUGCUUGAUUCUA
rnacentral:lncRNA from 1 species